GGGCCCGCACAAGCGGCGGAGCAUGUUGCUUAAUUCGAUGCAACGCGAAGAACCUUACCAAGGUUUGACAUGCAGGGAAAAGCCGUGGAGACACGGUGUCCGUAAGGGCCCUGCACAGGUGGUGCAUGGCUGUCGUCAGCUCGUGUCGUGAGAUGUUGGGUUAAGUCCCGCAACGAGCGCAACCCUCGUUCUAUGUUGCCAGCGGAUAAUGCCGGGAACUCAUAGGAGACUGCCGGGGUCAACUCGGAGGAAGGUGGGGAUGACGUCAAGUCCUCAUGCCCCUUAUAUCUUGGGCUGCAAACAUGCUACAAUGGCCGGUACAGAGGGCUGCGAGACCGCAAGGUGGAGCGAAUCUCAAAAAGCCGGUCUCAGUUCGGAUUGGGGUCUGCAACUCGACCCCAUGAAGUCGGAGUCGCUAGUAAUCGCGAAUCAGCAACGUCGCGGUGAAUACGUUCCCGGGCCUU
rnacentral:rRNA from 1 species